rnacentral:misc_RNA from 1 species
GAUGAAGAACGUAGCGAAAUGCGAUACUUGGUGUGAAUUGCAGAAUCCCGUGAACCAUCGAGUUUUUGAACGCAAGUUGCGCCCGAAGCCGUUAGGCCGAGGGCACGCCUGCCUGGGUGUCACACAUCGUUGCCCCAAUGCCAAUCGCCUCACUUUGUAGGUAUUUGCUUGGGGUGAAUGUUGGCCUCCCGUGAGCGUUGUUGCCUCGCGGUUGGUUGAAAAUCGAGUCCUUGGUAGGGUGUGCCAUGAUAGAUGGUGGUCGAGUUAGCACGAGACCGAUCAUGUGCAUGCUCCCCAAAAUAUGGCCUCUGUGACCCACACGCGUCUUUUGACGCUCAUGACGAGACCUCAGGUCAGGCGGGGCUACCCGCUGAAUUUAAGCAUAUCAAUAAGCGGAGGA